rnacentral:rRNA from 1 species
CCUACGGGAGGCAGCAGUGAGGAAUAUUGGUCAAUGGACGCAAGUCUGAACCAGCCAAGUAGCGUGCAGGAUGACGGCCCUCCGGGUUGUAAACUGCUUUUAGUUGGGAAUAAAAGGGGGCUCGUGAGCCCCGUAUUGUAUGUACCAUCGGAAAAAGGAACGUCUAAUUCCGUGCCAGCAGCCGCGGUAAGCCGGAAGGUGCGGGCGUUAUCCGGCUGUAUUGGGUUUAUAGGGUGCGCAGGCGGAAGAUCAAGUCAGCGGUAAACUUGCGAGGCUCAAACUCUUCGAGCCGUUGAAACUGGUUGUCUUGAGUGAGCGAGAGGUAUGCGGAAUGCGUUGUGUAGCGGUGAAAUGCAUAGAUAUCACGCAGAACUCCGAGUGCGAAGGCAGCAUACGG